AUUGAACGCUAGCGGGAUGCUUUACACAUGCAAGUCGAACGAGCGGCGGACGGGUGCGUAAUGUAUGGGGACUGCCCGAUAGAGGAGGAUAACUACUGGAAACUGUAGCUAAUACCGCCUACUAUCGGAUAACCCAUAUGGGAUUAGCUAGUAGGUGAGGUAAUGGCUCACCUAGGCGACGAUCCCUAGCGGGUCUGAGAGGAUGCUCAGCCACACUGGGAUGGAGACACGGCCCAGACGCCAACGGAGGCAGCAGUGGGGAAUAUUGCACAAUGGGUGCAAUCCUGAUGCAGCCAUGCCGCGUGUAGGAAGAAGGCCUUCGGGUUGUAAAGUACUUUUGGCAGAGAAGCGGUAUCUGCAGAAUAAGCACCGGCUAACUACGUGCCAGCAGCCGCGGUAAUAC
rnacentral:rRNA from 1 species